GGGAAUGUAGCUUAGUGGUAGAGUGCUUGCCUAACAUGCAUGAGGCCCUGGGUUCAAUUCCUCAGUACCA
rnacentral:tRNA from 1 species